AAAAUACAUUAUAGAUAUGUGCUUCUUCAUUAAGACCCGCCGCUGACAUCCACACAACCCCAGCCGACGACCACUCUCGUACCCUCUAAACUACAUGGAUGCAGCCGAAUAAAGCUUUAAAAUGAGCCGACAACUCCCAGUAAAACUAGCGUUUGAAUCACUUCGAAGAAGCCUGGAAAAAUAGACUGAAAUCCGGGCAGAAAUCAUAAAGAAAAGAAGCGUCUCGUUUCUUGCCCAGAUUUGUCGGAAAACGCGCCUGGUUCAUCUCAUUAUUUUUCAUUCAAAUUCCGGCAGAACCCGGUUGGUCUUUCGUCGAAGUUCCUAUUUCUCUGGCGAGAUCUGCGAUCCAUCGAGGUUAGUUCGAGGCUCUUCUCGUUGUUGGUUUCAAACUAGUAAA
rnacentral:lncRNA from 1 species